UCCCAAGAAUUUUCUACUAGAAACAACUUGACUAGCUUUGAGAGCUGCCCAAAACUUUCUGGAAUGGUUCCAUUCAUCUCAUUAUAUGAGAGGUCCAACUCCUUCAAGGAUGACAAAUUGCCAAUAGAAGCUGGAAUUGAACCAUAAAAAUGGUUACCACCAAGAUAGAGGUAUUUCAAGCUUCCUAGUCUCCCAAAUGAAUCAAGGAUUUUUCCUCCUUGAUUGCUAAAAGUCAAAUCAAGUUUUGUUAGACUCGUAAGAUUAAACAGCCACUGAGGUAUGGAGGUUUUAA